CCCUUGUCCCCCUCCCUGUCCCGUCCCCCCCAGCGUCCCCGGGGGGGGGUGACAGCGGUGGCGGUCACAAUAAACUCGCGUGGCCCCCCCACGGCGUGAGCGUUGUGUCCUUGUCACUGUCCCCAGCUUGGGGGGGGGGACGGGGACACCCGGGUGACAACGCGGCCGCAGCUUGGGGACAAAGGGCCACCCCCCCGCGGUGCCACCCGCGCCCCCCCCGGGGGCUUUAUUCAGCGUCACCUCACAGAGACACCCCCCCCCCCAAAAUGGGGCAAAAACCGCGGGAUUUGGGGCCGGGUGAUGUCACCACGGGGUGGGGGGGCGUCAGGGUGACGGUGACACCGCGGCGGUGGCACGGGGACAGUCGGGCACGGUGCCAGGUGCCACCCCCCCCCCCUCGGUGACAACGCCACCGCCUCCCGGUGUCACGACGUCCCCGUGUCCCCACGUCCCGGUGUCACGACGUCCCGGUGCCACGACGUCCCCCUGUCCCCACGUCCCGGUGUCACGACAUCCAAGUGCCAUUGUCCCGGUGUCACGACGUCCCGGUGCCAUUGUCCCGGUGUCACGACGUCCCGGUGUCACGACGUCCCGGUGCCACAACGUCCCGGUGCCAUCGUCCCGGUGCCACGACCUCCCGGUGCCACAACGUCCCCCUGUCCCCACGUCGCGGUGUCACGACAUCCAAGUGCCAUUGUCCCGGUGUCACGAUAUCCCGGUGUCACGACAUCCCGGUGCCAUUGUCCCAGUGUCACGACGUCCCGGUGUCACGAUGUCCCGGUGUCACGACGUCCCGGUGUCACGAUGUCCCAGUGCCAUUGUCCCAGUGUCACGAUGUCCCGGUGCCACGACGUCCCCCUGUCCCCACGUCCUGGUGUCACGACAUCCAAGUGCCAUUGUCCCAGUGUCAUGACGU
rnacentral:lncRNA from 1 species